UACGAAGGGAGCUAGCGUUGUUCGGAAUCACUGGGCGUAAAGCGCACGUAGGCGGAUUUGUCAGUCAGGGGUGAAAUCCCGGGGCUCAACCUCGGAACUGCCUUUGAUACAGCAAGUCUUGAGUUCGAGAGAGGUGGGUGGAAUUCCUAGUGUAGAGGUGAAAUUCGUAGAUAUUAGGAAGAACACCAGUGGCGAAGGCGGCUCUCUGGGACGGUACUGACGCUGAGACACGAAAGCGUGGGGAGCAAACAGG
rnacentral:rRNA from 1 species